CGCACCAUAUCGGGCUUAAUAGCCGCCUAACAAGACAAAAGACUAAUAAGUAAACCACCACAAAGCUAUUUCCAAACGCCCAAAGUGGCUGGCGUAAUUUAGCUGGCACCGAUCGCAACAUCCAACUUAUAGUUGAAAAACUAAUUAGGAGUGCGCAGCGCUAUUUGAUCAAAUCGCCUGGUGCUCGUUUUGGCCCACUCUGGCUGCCAACACGUGGAGCGGGACUACUCGAGCCGAGCCACAUACAGUUUACCAGUGCAAAUUUAAGUUUCGAGCCAAGCUUUCCAACCGUUGUAAGACGAAGGAAAACUUAAGAUUGAUACACGUGUUGUUCGCCAUAUUCUCCUGACCAGUUGCGAGUAACCUAACCCCGGACUAAUGGUUAGCCAUCGACACGUCCAACACGAGCGUAUCGCGGAUAAGCAGACACCCGGGACUCUUGUUCUAGCUGUUGAAUCUGCCGCCUCGCAGCUAAGGAUUCACUCCCGAUCUCGGCAGCCGAUCUGAC